rnacentral:miRNA from 1 species
ACCUACUUCUUUACAUCUUC